rnacentral:lncRNA from 1 species
CUAGUUUGAUUACAUAAUUAAUUGAGGUAUUGCAUAAAUUGGCCAAUUAUGGGCUGGUAAACUCCUCAGCCUUAUUCUCCUAAACUAAAAAGCUAAAAAAAAUAAAAAACAGAACCUUCCGGCUUAGAGUAUAUAUAAAAUACUCUACACAGUCAUUCAUAUAUAUUUAAAAAAANAAAAUCUUAAAAAAGCAUGCAUUCGUGGAUUUCCUUUAACCUCCGCGGCAUUUGUUUUCCUGAGUGCAACCCCUAUUGUAGUUGUUUGCAGGUGCCGCCGGCGGGUUUCUGAGCGGCGCACGGCCGUAUUCCAUCGCCGGGUACCCUAUAUGUCUGUCAUUUUCCUCAAAUUUCGGUUUUUUCGCACCCUUCGCACGCAGCUCCUCUGCCGCGUUAUACUGCGUUUUCUCAUUUUCCGCACUCGUCGUCGCCACGAAAGCACUGAUCACAAGCAGCACCAUCAAGCUUGUCGCCACCAUUUUCCCCAUUUUAUUAUAUCUGUGAUAUAACCUUUUUUUUGCUCUCUACAACUUGUACUUUUUCUAAUUCGAUAUUUCCCUGACGAAUUUAUGCAGUUAUUUAUACCAAAAAAAUAAUCAGUUUUGAUGGUAUUUGUUGACUUGAAAUAGAAAUUUGAGGAACACCAUUCACUCUAAUUACCCUUCUCCAUAAAUUGCUUAGCCCCAUCUAUUGAAUUUCUAUACAUAUUCGCCUCAACAGUCAUUAAUUUUAGUAACCUUUUUAACGAAUGAGAUUCUGUGUACCACAUUUUAUGUCUCACUUUGUGUCCCACUUUCAAUUUUGUUUAUUUUGUUAUAAAUUUUUUCUUCAAUUUCAACUUUGUAUGCUUUAAUUUAAUUUUAUGACUAUUAACUAUGGUUUAUUCCAUCAAUCUAGGGUAUAUAAUUAUUUUUUAUCAUUUAAUUUCACUUUUAUAUUAGUUAAUAAUAGGUUGAUAAAUACAAAGUCAUGGUAUAUACUUUUUAAAAAAUUAAUUUUUUGAAAUAUAAAUUAAAUAUAUUUCAUAGCGUUGUUAUGUCUUGAAUUUCCCGCUUUCAGUUUUGGGCUUUAGGCCCAAUUUGGGUGUUUUAUCUCAGUACUAUAUAUAUAGUUGAGAAUCUGUAACCCUAGCCGCAUAAUAAAAUUUGUUGUCCUUCUGUCCGUGGAUGUAGCCAAAUUGGUGAAUCACGUAAAUCGAUCUGUGUCUUCUUUACAUUUUUUAUUUGAUUGUGCUCUUUAAUCCUAUUCCAUCACAACAAACUGGUAUCUAAAGCGAGGUUGUUUCGAUCAGAGGAUUUUUUUCGCACUGUUAGGGUUUUUUGGAGUCGAUCAAGAAUGUCUGCUUUCAACGUAAAGGUUGACAAAUUCACUGGGAGAAAUAGUUUUGGCCUAUGGCAGAUCAAGAUGCGAUCUCUGCUGAAACAGCAGGGUUUGUGGGCGCCGGUGUCUGAAAAGAAGAAAUGUGAUAAAUAUGAUGAAGAAGAGUGGAAUACUCAGGAAGAAAAAGCCCCUCGACUAUCAUGCUUUGUUUGUCUGACGAUGUUAUCAUCGAGGUUGCCGAUCAGGAAACUGCCGAAGGUCUCUGUAAGAAGUUAGAUAGUCUCUACAUGACGAAGUCUCUGACCAACAAGUUGCUUCUGAAGUAAUGUCUGUUCCGAUUACGCAUGCAGGAAGGUACUCCCCUUCGGGAUCAUCUAGACAAAUUAAAUAAAAUUUUGUUGGAUUUGCGUAAUAUUGAUGUUAAAGUAGAAGAUGGGGAUGCUGCUUUAAUUCUGUUAGUAUCUUUGCCUAAGUCGUAUGAGAAUUUUGUUGAAUCGUUUAUUACUGGAAAAGAUACUCUUUGGAAGAUGUUCGAUCUGCCCUCCACAGCAGAGAAGAUCGUCAACAUGCCACUAGCUCGGCCACAAAAAAUCAGGCAUCAGGGUUGUCUAUCACGGGUAAGGGACAAAAGAAAUCUGGGAAGCAGGACAAGAAGAAGUCGAAUCAUAAAGGUUCAAAAGGUCCUAAACCCGAAGACAUCUGCAAUUACUGUAAAGAACCAGGGCACUAGAAGAAUGAUUGUCCUAAUAAGAAGAUAAAACAGGAGCAAAAAGGGGGUGCCAGUGGUUCUGCAGUUGUGGCAGAAACUGAUACAAAUUCUGAAGAUGGUCUGGCCUUGGUUUCAGGUGCACAGUCACAUCGUAAUGAUGUGUGGAUUCUGGAUUCUGGGGCAUCAUACCAUAUUUGUCCAAACAGGGAGUUCUUCUCGACCUGUGAGCAGAUAGAUGGAGGCAAUGUUUGCAUGGCCAACAGUGCUGUCUGUAAGGUGGUUAGAAUUGGCGCAGCCACGAUACGGACACAUGAUGGUGUAUUCUGCACCUUGAAUGAAGUUAGGCAUGUUCCACAGAUGACGAAGAAUCUAAUAUCAUUGAGUCUUCUUGACAGCAAGGGUUUCAGUUUCAAAGGUGACGGUGGAGCUAUGUAUGUCUGUCAAGGUUCAAAGGUGGUUCUGACAGGCUUAAAAUGUGGUACCUUAUAUUAUCUGCGAGGUUCCACGGUGACAGGCUCUGCUGAUGUUGCAUCAUCCGAGGUUCAGACCAAGGAUAUGACCAGGUUGUGGCAUAUGAGGCUCGGUCAUAUGGGAGAAAGAGGGAUGCAGAUUCUGUCCAAACGGGAUCUUCUUUCUGGGCAUCAAGUGCAUAAUUUUGAAUUUUGUAAACACUGUGUGUUUGAGAAGCUUCAUCGCAGCAAGUUCCCAAAGAAGGCCAUCCAUCAGACAAAGGGGACUCUUGACUACAUUCAUAUAGAUUGUUCGGGUCCGUCACGUGUUGAGUCCAUUAGAGGUCACAUAUAUUUUGUGUCUAUGAUUGAUGAUUACUCAAGGAUGACUUGGGUUAUUAUGAUGAAAUACAAGUGAAACCUUCAAGAGUUUCAAGCAGUGGAAAGCGUUGGUUGAAAAUCAGACUGGGAAGAAGAUCAAGCGAUUGCGAAUUGAUGAUGGUUUGAGUUCUGUUCGUCUGAGUUCAAUGAGUUCUGCAAGGAUGAAGGGAUUGCUCGACACCACACCAUUAGACAUACACCAAAACAGAAUGGCGUACGUGGCAAAAUGCAUGAAUCAGACAUUGCCGGAGAGAGCGAGAUGCAUGCUCUCAAAUGCUGGUUUGGCUAGGAGGUUCUGGGUAGAAGCUGUAAACGACGGCGUGCUAUCUGAUAACCGUGGUCCUCACACUGGCAUUGAUUACAAGACACCUUACGAGGUAUGGUCUAAUAAACCUGCAGAUUAUUCGAUGUUGAAGGUUUUUGGUUGUACUGUUUACCAUCAUGUUAGUGAGGGUAAACUAGAGCCAAGAGCUAAGAAUGGUAUAUUUGUUGGUUUGGGGGAUGGAGUUAAGGGAUAUAGAAUAUGGUCACCUUCAGAGGAUAGAGUUAUAUUCAGCAGGAAUGUGAUUUUUGAUGAGAAUUCUAUGCUUAACUCUACUGUGAAGUCCGCUGGUGCAUAAAAUUGUAGUAGUGUUGAUAAACAGGUGGAGCUGCAAGUUACUCCUGAUGAGAGUGAAUCACAAUUCCAAGGUGGAGAAGAUCAAUAUACUACUGCUGAAAGUACAAGUUCAGAUGUUCAUCCACAAGCUCUCCAGACAAGCAUUGCUGUUGAUAGAGCUAGGAGAACAGGCGUGAAGCCACCUGUGAGGUACGAUUUUGAGGAUAUGGUGACUUAUGCAUUACAAGUCAUUGACGAGGUGGAGGAGGAAGAACCAUCAGCAGGUGAACCAUAUCCACAUACAGAGAGGCUGUUCAGGUAGUGAGUCGGCCCAAUGGCUCGCUGCAACGAAAGAAGAGAUGAAAUCACUUGCCAAGAAUCAACUUGGAGUUGGUCACACGGCCUAAGGGGAGGAGGAUUGUUACAUGCAAAUGGAUAUUCAGGAAGAAGGAAGAAACCACACCUAGUGAGGGCGUGAGAUACAAAGCUCAGCUAGUUGCAAGAGGGUUCACACAGAAGAGGGGGUUGACUAUAAUGAGAUUUUCUCACCAGUGGUCAGACACACUUCCAUCAGGGUGUUCCUAGAGAUGGUUACUCAUCUGGAUUUUAGAACUUGAGCAGCUGGAUGUGAAGACAACGUUGCCCCAUUACUAGUAUAGUACAGAUUCAAAAACGAAAGGAAUGUGAGGCCUGCAAGCUCCACCGGUAUGAGCCCGGUGAGUCGGUUUCUAGAGAGAUCGAGAGAUUCGAUAUUCCUCAAUUGACCAAAUGAGUUUGGGAUGCUUCCAUUGAGGGAAUUGUGGGAGAGGUUGAGCUGAUGAAGUGAGGUAAGAUCACCGAUUGCAUUUGGUAUCUCUCCUCCGAAAUCAUUGCAAGAGAAAUCAAUGUUACAAAACUCUGGCCUAUGAAACUCUAAAUUUAUCCCCUUCAUGAUUAAUGCGACGCUUGGUGAACUCGACAAUAGCAUGUAAUAGAUUGAACUGUCCUGCCUCAAUUGUUCAUCACUCUGUAGCAUCAUUGUCUCCCAACUAGAAAAGUUCAUUGAUUCCAGAUUUUGAUAUGCGAAAACAAGAAGAGCUACUUCGAGCGAGCUUUACUCCAGGAAAGAAGAGAAUUUCAGAGAGAAGGAAGAUUUUUCAUUCAAGUCAUAAUCCUUCAUUCAGGUACAGAGUACUGCUAAAUAGAAAAGAGGGCCAACAUGCCCGUUGCCACUGCCACAGAUCAGCUGCGUCUAACUACCAAAAGAGAGAAUANAAAACUGAUACAAAUUCUGAAGAUGGUCUGGCCUUGGUUUCAGGUGCACAGUCACAUCGUAAUGAUGUGUGGAUUCUGGAUUCUGGGGCAUCAUACCAUAUUUGUCCAAACAGGGAGUUCUUCUCGACCUGUGAGCACAUAGAUGGAGGCAAUGUUUGGAUGGCCAACAGUGUUGUCUGUAAGGUGGUUAGAAUUGGCUCAGCCACGAUACGGACACAUGAUGGUGUAUUCUGCACCUUGAAUGAAGUCAGGCAUGUUCCACAGAUGACGAAGAAUCUAAUAUCAUUGAGUCUUCUUGACAACAAGGGUUUCAGUUUCAAAGGUGACGGUGGAGCUAUGUAUGUUUGUCAAGGUUCAAAGGUGGUUCUGACAGGCUUGAAAUGUGGUACCUUAUAUUAUCUGCGAGGUUCCACGGUGACAGGCUCUGCUGAUGUUGCAUCAUCUGAGGUUCAGACCAAGGAUAUGACCAGGUUGUGGCAUAUGAGGCUCGGUCAUAUGGGAGAAAGAGGGAUGCAGAUUCUGUCCAAACGGGAUCUUCUUUCUGGGCAUCAAGUGCAUAUUUUUGAAUUUUGUAAACACUGUGUGUUUGAGAAGCUUCAUCGCAGCAAGUUCCCAAAGAAGGCCGUCCAUCAGACAAAGGGGACUCUUGACUACAUUCAUAUAGAUUGUUCGGGUCCGUCACGUGUUGAGUCCAUUAGAGGCCACAGAUAUUUUGUGUCUAUGAUUGAUGAUUACUCAAGGAUGACUUGGGUUAUUAUGAUGAAAUAUAUACAAGUGAAGCCUUCAAGAGUUUCAAGCAGUGGAAGGCGUUGGUUGAAAAUCAGACUGGGAAGAAGAUCAAGCGAUUGCGAAUUGAUGAUGGUUUGAGUUCUGUUCGUCUGAGUUCAAUGAGUUCUGCAAGGAUGAAGGGAUUGCUCGACACCACACCAUUAGACAUACACCAAAACAGAAUGGCGUACGUGGCAAAAUGCAUGAAUCAGACAUUGCCGGAGAGAGCGAGAUGCAUGCUCUCAAAUGCUGGUUUGGCUACGAGGUUCUGGGUAGAAGCUGUAAACACGGCGUGCUAUCUGAUAAACCGUGGUCCUCACACUGGCAUUGAUUACAAGACACCUUACGAGGUAUGGUCUAAUAAACCUGCAGAUUAUUCGAUGUUGAAGGUUUUUGGUUGUACUGUUUACCAUCAUGUUAGUGAGGGUAAACUAGAGCCAAGAGCUAAGAAUGGUAUAUUUGUUGGUUUGGGGGAUGGAGUUAAGGGAUAUAGAAUAUGGUCACCUUCAGAGGAUAGAGUUAUAUUCAGCAGGAAUGUGAUUUUUGAUGAGAAUUCUAUGCUUAACUCUACUGUGAAGUCCGCUGGUGCAUAAAAUUGUAGUAGUGUUGAUAAACAGGUGGAGCUGCAAGUUACUCCUGAUGAGAGUGAAUCACAAUUCCAAGGUGGAGAAGAUCAAUAUACUGCUGCUGAAAGUACAAGUUCAGAUGUUCAUCCACAAGCUCUCCAGACAAGCAUUGCUGUUGAUAGAGCUAGGAGAACAGGCGUGAAGCCACCUGUGAGGUACGAUUUUGAGGAUAUGGUGACUUAUGCAUUACAAGUCAUUGACGAGGUGGAGGAGGAAGAACCAUCAGCAGGUGAACCAUAUCCACAUACAGAGAGGCUGUUCAGGUAGUGAGUCGGCCCAAUGGCUCGCUGCAAUGAGAGAAGAGAUGGAAUCACUUGCCAAGAAUCUAACUUGGAGUUGGUCAAACGGCCUAAGGGGAGGAGGAUUGUUACAUGCAAAUGGAUAUUCAGGAAGAAGGAAGAAACCACACCUAGUGAGGGCGUGAGAUACAAAGCUCGGCUAGUUGCAAGAGGGUUCACACAGAAGGAGGGGGUUGACUAUAAUGAGAUUUUCUCACCAGUGGUCAGACACACUUCCAUCAGGGUGUUCCUAGAGAUGGUUACACAUCUGGAUUUAGAACUUGAGCAGCUGGAUGUGAAGACAACGUUUCUACAUGGAAUGCUCGAAGAUGAUAUCUACAUGACUCAACCAGAGGGGUUCCAUGUUCCAAGAAAGGAAGAUUAUGUUUGCAGGUUGAAGAGGUCCUUAUAUAGGCUAAAGCAGUCCCCAAGGCAGUGGUAUAAAAGGUUUGACAGUUACAUGAUCCAGUUUGGAUUCAACAGGAGUUCGUAUGAUUGUUGUGUGUAUCACAACGAAGCUGAUGAUGGUUCCAUGAUCUACCUUGUUCUGUAUGUGGACGAUAUGCUCAUAGCUGUGAAGUCCAAGUCUGAUAUUCAGAAGUUGAAGGAUCUGCUCAGUGCUGAGUUUGAUAUGAAGGAUUUGGGUGCAGCCAAGAAAAUUCUAGGCAUGGAGAUAUAUAGAGAAAGGGAGAAGAAGAAGAAGCUUUUCUUAUCACAGAAGAGCUACAUCCAGAAGAUCUUGUUGAGAUUUGAAAUGUCUACCGCCAAGCCUAUUGAUACUCCAAGUGCUGCAAACAUUCACUUAUCAUCUGAUCAUGCACCAGAAUCAGUAGUUGAGCAGGAGUACAUGUCUCGAGUCCCAUACUCUAAUGCAGUAGGGAGUUUGAUGUACGCUAUGGUCUGCACUAGACCUGAUCUUGCACAUGCUGUAAGUGUUGUCAGUAGGUUCAUGGGACGACUUGGAAAUGAGCAUUGGCAAGCUGUGAAGAGGAUUUUCCGUUAUCUCAAAGGUACGUAUGAUGUUGGUCUCAUUUAUGAAGGUGAUACUCACUGUUCUGUGACUGGUUAUUCUGAUUCUGACUAUGCUGGAGAUGUUGAUAGUAGGAGAUCUAUGACUGGUUAUAUCUUCACUUUUGGUGGUUCUGUUGUUAGUUGGAAGGCAACUUUGUAGGCUAUAGUUACUCUGUCUACAACUGAAGCAGAGUAUAUAGCAUUGACAGAAGCUGCUAAAGAGGGAAUGUGGUUGAAAGGACUUGUAGGUGAUCUUGGUCUACAUCAUGAUCAAGUUAUUGUGUUCUGUGACAGUCAGAGUACAAUCUGUUUGACCAAUGAUCAAGUCCAUCAUGAGAGGACUAAGCAAAUUGAUGUGAGGUAUCAUUUUCUGAGGAAUGAGCAGAGAAUCAAGGUGAUGAAAGUAGGUACUGCUGAUAAUCUUGCUGAUGUGUUCACCAAGCUAAUACCACAGUGAAAAACAAUAACUUUUGCCGACGACGACGGUGAAACCACAGUGCUAAAAACAAGCAGAGCCGCCGCGAUCACAGCUAGCAUCUUCGCCAUGCUUACCUUUCAAAAAGAAUAUAAUAUUAUAUAUACUUAGAUAGGAUUUUUUUUUCUUGGGAUGUUUGCUAACUUUUCUCUUGGUUUUAUUUUUCUGUGGAUCUCAUGAAUUUAUAUACAGGGAAAAAAAGUACCGUUCAGAUUUUAUUAAUCCUUGAGUAGUAUUUGAGAUCCUGAGAUGGGAUUCUUUAUAUCAAUACAUUAUUAAAUCUUUUUUUUUUAUCAUAAUCCAGCAAAACAAAUUAAUUGCAAUUAAACAGCCACAAUGCACUUUUAUAAGCAUCCAUGUACACCAAUUACAGUUCAUAUGCUAAAGAAAGAAUAAUAAAAAGAAGUGAUCAAUUACACGGAAACUAAUAAAUAAAGAAAGAAAUGUACAUUUAUAUUUUAAAAGGAAUAUAUUGUUUAAAAUAAGAGUACUUGCUGGCGUAAUACAAUAUGAAACAUAAAUGGAGAAGAUGAGAUUACAAAUGAAAUAAAUUGAACUGAAAUUACAGCUAAACAAACUCGUAGGAUCAAGUGCAGCAAGCCGAAUCUAGGAAUUCUAUAUCCACAAGACGAUGUACGCCUCAUUAUACUCAUCGAUUGGCGUGUCAUCUCCAAAAUGGAACAACUUCAUCUCGUAGUUAGCACCAACGAGCUCCAAGAACUGGAACGAGACGAAAAAACAGAGCUUCAAUACAAGUAUGUAAGCAGAUUUUUUAGUGGUAAGAAAAUUCCACAUGUUAAUAUUUGUACUCUAUUGUAUUGUCAUUGCCAUUGUGUAGAUAAGUGAUAGUAUCCGCAAAUAUUUUAUGGAUUAGUCAUUCUUUCAAUUGGUAUCAGAGUAGGUCACCUAUGUUAUCGGUGUUAGAUCUUGGCGACAGUAAUCCAUAUGGUAUUUCUUGAGAUGUUUUGGUUUUGAGUUUGCCGCCCCUACUUUGAAGUUUUCUAUAACAACGAGAAGAAGCCUAGAUGAAAGAGCGUUUCAUGUUCCUGUGUCUGUUGCUGGUGGUGUAUCUCCAAGUAUUUUCGAGUGAUGGUACAAAUGUUGAUACUGAUGCUGCUAUUGUUGGUUUGUUUCUCUUUUUGUUCUUGAUUUGAGGAGGAGUUCGGCUUAUCUCAAUUUAUGUUUUUGAGAUUUUUCUUGCUGCGGUUUAUUCAUUAGUUGAGUAAUUUGUUUUGUCUACUUAUCCGCGAAAGAAAGAGGGGGAAUUAAUUAGUUUUAAUUAAUCAAUGUGUAAUAAACAUUUCUUUUCCAAAAACAAUAUGGAAUAAACAUUAACUUAUCUUUAAUAUGCUUAUCACUUUAUCCCACAACUCCAUAUUUCAAGUAAUAAAUUUUAAUUAAUUAUUUUCCACUCAUCAAAAAUCAAUUUUGAGUAAAUAAAUAUAGCACGAUCAUCUAAGAUCAAAUGUAUGUCAUUUAAUUCCACAGAAAAAAGGCUGUUUCAUAAAUUUCCUGAACCAGAUUUGAAUGAGCAGGAUCUGUUUGAAAAUAUGCCUGAACAAAUGCAGGCAAUGAUUUGCUUGGAACAUCUCUAUUGGUAUCAGUUUAUGUUUGUAUAAAUUUCAUGAUUUUUUUUUUUAAGUUAAUCAUAACAUCUUUUGAUUGGAACGUCUUGAGAUGUUUAUGUUUAUGUUUGCAACAUCUCAUCAGUUUUCUUGAGAUGUUGCAAACAUCUUUUGAUUGGAACUUCUUGACAUUUUUUUUAGGGUUAAUAGUGUUUUAUGUCCCGAACUUUCACCAUUUUCAAUAAAAUGUCCCAAACUUUCAUUUUCUCCUAAAAAGUCCCGAAUUUUCAACUUUUUCCACAAAAUGUCCCACAAUACAAAAUUUGGUGACAGAUAACUUAUCUCGCUCGGACGAAAUAUUUUGAAAAUCUUUAUUAUUGAAAAAACCUAUUAGCGUCGUUGAGCUUGCGGGCGCGCGUGCCGGUGUUUUCAACGAUACGGGCAGCCUUGCCGCGCAGGUCGCGCAGGUAAUAGAGCUUGGCGCGACGGACCUUACCGCGGCGAACGAUUUCGACGCUUUCGAUCAUCGGCGAGUAAACCGGGAAUACGCGCUCGACGCCUUCGCCGUAGGAGAUCUUACGAACGGUGAAGUUUCCUGCAGACCGCCGCCGGAGCGAGCGAUGCAGACGCCUUCAUAGGCCUGAACGCGGGUACGGGUGCCUCCGUGACCUUCACGUGACGCGAAGGGUGUCGCCGGCGGAAAAGUCGGGGAGCGUGCGCUUGGCUUCGAUCUUGGCAGCCUGUUCGGCUUCCAACUGCUGAAUGAUGUUCAUGUUAUCAACCUCGUUGUUGCUUCAACAGCCAGAGCGCCCUGAGUGCUCUAUCCUUGGUCGGACCCUUAGGAUCUCGCCUUGGAUAUAUGCCUAUAAAGGCAGGGGCGAAUGCGUCUGCUUUUCUUUGGUGGUUGAUGGGAAAUUUCCCAUGCCGGGCGCGCACAUACCCUAUUGCUGCGGCUUUGUCACCCCUUGGCGGGGAAUUUCAUGCGCGAAAGGCCGCUUUUCAGGGUUUUCGCUGUGUGAGCGGCGCCCGGGCGGCUUAAAUGCCAAGAGGUGGCUGUCUAUGUCGAAUUUGGUGUCAGUGUCAAAAGANCAUAUAUUCGUAUAACUGCCUCAACAUUCAUUAAUUUUAGUAACCUUUUCAAGGAAUGAGAUUCAGUGUACCAUACUCUAUGUCCCAAUUUGUGUCCCACUUUCAAUUUUGUUUAUUUUCUUAUAUAUUUUUUCUUCAAUUUCAACUUUGUAUGCUUUAAUUUAAUUUUGUGAUUAUUAACUAGGGUUUAUUCUAUCAAUCUAAGGUAUAUAAUUAUUAUUUAUCACUUUUAUUAGUUAAUAAUAGGUUGAUAAAUUUAAAGUCAUGGUAUAUACUUUUUAAAAAAAUUAAUUUUUUGAAAUAAAAAUUAUCUAUAAUUCAUAAUAUUAUAAUAAAUUUUAUUUUUAUAAAAAAUAUUUUUAAAAUAGUAGAUAUAAGCUUGAGACACGGUGGCACACAUAAAAUUGUGGGACACGAAUCGCACGUAUACAUUUUUAAUUCAAUCUAAAGCACCCAUUUCAAAUUUUUGAGGAACCCUUUCUCCACUACACAAAAAUAACCACUCAUUUUAUUAAAACAUGUGGACGGAGGGAGUAUUUUUUUUUAUCUUUACUAUCUCAAUUGGUAUAUUUUAUUAGUCCGCUUUAUUUACUACGUGCGAUUAAAAGUUAUUUUAUUAGUCUCAAUUGGAUUGAAACGUAAUUUGGGAUAUCCCAAGACCCUUGAUUAUUUCUAUCAUUUAAGCUAGUUCCGUUUGAUUCUUAUCUCAAUCAUGCAAAGUAAACAGCUCCUAAAGCAAUUAUUUUAAUUCUUACUCUAAGUCCAUUAGGAUUCCACCUGCCUCCCAAAACAUGCCCCAAAGUUGGAGCAUCGCGAUCGGACUCUGGUGUUCAGUAUCUUGAGGCUCCAUACUUCAACAUGUUUCUAAUGAUGGCAUGUCUAAGCGAAGUAUGCAUUACACAAGUGCGGCUAGACGGCCUCAAUAUUUUGAAUAUGGUUAGUAUUAUGCUCCACAUGCAUUUUAAUUCUCGAGUGACUGCAAAGAAUUGAGACCGUUAAUUUUGGAACAAAUUUAAACGUUAUAACACUUUUAAGGUCCUGUUUAAUAAGUGGGAAAACAAAAAAAGUUCAGGCAUUAGUUAGCAAAUAAGGGUAUCAUUUCAUUCAUAAAAUAAAUAUGUGUGGCAAUUUUAGUGCAUAUAUAUAGAGCUUUUAAUAUCACACAGUAUCGUGUUUUUGUGCUAGUUUUCCUUUUUCUUCUACCGAAAAACUACAAGUUGUGGAAUUUUCAGAAUAUGGCUAUUUUACUCAUUAAUUUUUUUUACUAAUUCUAAGUUUAUGGUACGAAUGUUGUUCGACAAAAUGACUGUUCCAACUCCAAAGGGAAAAAAUUGUGCUUAUAUAUAAGAGAAGACAUUCUUUAACGAGAGAACUAAAUGCAAAUAAUAGUAGGAAGUUUUUGGAACGUAUAUAAUUCUGCUCCCAUUGUUGUUCCGGUUAUCGAUGAGAAAUAACUGACGAGGAGUGAACGUGCCAUGCCUACCCAUUUUGGGCUACUCUGGAGAAUUGGUCUCUAGAGAACUUUGCUCAAAAGGCUUUGAUGCGAAUUUUGUGUAGAGUCAAGAUGUGUAAAAGCUGUUUGAUAAAAUGCGUAAAUCAUACUUGAAUGGGCAUGCUUGUUUGAACAUAUGCCUGUGUUAUUUAGGGGUGUAGAAAUAUGGACAGAAUAACGACGUGAAUGUAGGAACCGAGGCAAGAGUUGGACUCUUUCUCCGUAAGACAAAAUUGCCCCGCACAGUACACACGGUUCGAUGGCAAAUGUCCCCAAGAUACAACGGUUUUAAUGAGUACGAGACCUUGUACUAGGAACUCGAACUUCCAGCGAACUACAGAAUACUCGGGACUUGAGUAUGAACUAGAAGAGAGAAUGAUUAAAUUAAUUAUCUGAAUUAAUUUUUGGUGUGUUUAAUCUCAUUCUGCAGGGCUGUANUUAGGAGAAAAUGAAAGUUUAGGACAUUUUAUAGAAAAUGGUGAAAGUUCGGGACAUAAAACACUAUUAACCCUUUUUUUUUAAAUAAAGUUUAUGUUUGUAUAUACAAGAAUUUUUUUUUCUUGAGAUGUUGUAAACUCUUUUCUUGGUUUUAUUUUCUGUGAAUCUCAUGACUUAUAUUGGGAAAAAAGGAUCCGUUCAGAUUUCAUUAAUUGACUUUUGAAUUUGUUGAUCUUAAAGUGGUUUUUUUUUUUUUGGGGGGGGGGGGGAUAAUUUAGUGGAUUUUUGCCAAAUUAAAAAUGCGUUGAUGAGAUUCUUUAUAUCAAUAAGUUAUUAAAUCUUCUAUUAAAUUAUCAAGUUGAUUAUCUUUACUUCAUAAUCUAGAAAACAUAAAUUAAAUUACAGGGAUAAAAAAAUGAUAUGAAUGUUAACUACAUAAGGGAAUGUAUAGAUACUUUUAUAUUUUAAAACUAACAUAUUGAUUUCAAUCUCAUGAAUCACAAUUUUUUAAACAUACUUAGUGUAUAAAUAUAUUUCUUCAAGAAUAUUGAGUGACUACAAUAAGAAAAAUUAACUACUAGUUUGAUUACAUAUUAUUAAUUGAGGUAUUACAUAAAAUGGCCAAUAACCAUUAUGGGCUGAUAAACUCCUCAGCCUUAUUCUCCUAAACUAAAAAUCUAGAAAAUAAAAUUAAAAAAAAGGACCUUCCUUCUUAGAGUAUAUAUAAAAUACUCUACACAAUCAUUCAUAUCAAUUUUAAAAAAAAAUCUUAAAUGAUCACAUUAAUUAAUUUGCUGUUUGUGAAUUUCCUUUAACCUCCGCGGCAUUUGUUUUCCUGAGUGCAACCCCUAUUGUAGUUGUUUGCAGGUGCCGCCGGCGGGUUUCUGAGCGGCGCACGGCCGUAUUCCAUCGCCGGGUUCCCUAUAUGUCUGUCAUUUUCCUCAAAUCUCGGUUUUUUCGCACCCUUUGCGAGCAGCUCCUCCUUCGCGUUAUACUCCGCUUUCCCUUCUUCCGCACUCGUCGUCGCCACAAAAGCACUUAUCACAAGCAGAACCAUCAAGCUUGUCGCCACCAUUUUCCCCAUUUUUAUUAUAUCUCUAAUAUAUAACCUUUUUUUCUCUCUUCAACUUGUACUUUUUCUUAUUCGAUAUUUUCCUGACGAAUUU